rnacentral:rRNA from 1 species
AUUGAACGCUGGCGGCAUGCCUUACACAUGCAAGUCGAACGGCAGCACGGGAGCAAUCCUGGUGGCGAGUGGCAAACGGGUGAGUAAAGUAUCGGAACGUGCCCAGUCGUGGGGGAUAACGUAGCGAAAGUUACGCUAAUACCGCAUACGAUCUAUGGAUGAAAGCGGGGGAUCGCAAGACCUCGCGCGAUUGGAGCGGCCGAUAUCAGAUUAGGUAGUUGGUGGGGUAAAGGCUCACCAAGCCGACGAUCUGUAGCUGGUCUGAGAGGACGAGCAGCCACACUGGGACUGAGACACGGCCCAGACUCCUACGGGAGGCAGCAGUGGGGAAUUUUGGACAAUGGGCGCAAGCCUGAUCCAGCCAUGCCGCGUGCAGGAUGAAGGCCUUCGGGUUGUAAACUGCUUUUGUACGGAACGAAAAGGUUUGACUUAAUACGUUGGACUCAUGACGGUACCGUAAGAAUAAGCACCGGCUAACUACGUGCCAGCCGCCGCGGUAA